rnacentral:lncRNA from 1 species
AGAUAAUUGGCUAGGGGUUGCCUUGGUUACCCCAUACAUGGGCUUUUUCCGCCUGGUUUGGCCUCGUUAGAAGCGGGAGUCCUGCUUCCUCCAUUUUGAAUCCUCUGUGUUAGUUUUGGUUUUAAAUUUAGCAAGUUAUGGCUCACAGAAGUGGAAAAAAAUAUUUUUCGCUCAGGACUUGGAGCUGAACACUUGCAGUUUUCGGACCAUUGUGGAUAUAGCGUGUGUUUUGGAUUAACGCUUUAUCGGAUUACAUUUGCUGGAUCGUAAUGGACAGAAUGAAACCACACACGACGUGAAUGAGCGACGUUUGGAGCUCAGAAGUCCUCAAAAGUCUGUGUAAUUACCGGCUUGAUCACCGGCCUGACCUUUCACAUUCAAGCUGGACAGAAGAAAGCAUCCCCACCUUGAUGGAGCUGGAUAAUAAGAAAUGGAGGAUGAGUGGGUGAGGUGUGGUGAGGUGGGGGGGAGGGGGGCAUGUACUCAUGGAGCAGGGAAAAAAGUCUAAAAGGGCGGGACUACAAGCCUUGUGGUAAUUGUGCCUUUUU